UAUAUAUAUAUAUAUAGAGAGAGAGAGAGAGAGAGAGAGAGAGAGAGAGAGAGAGAGAGCAGGGCUGCUGUGCUCUUAGGAGCACGGAGCCCUCCGUGCUCCUGAGCCGUUUUCGAUGAUGGGACAUCCAAAUCGACGAUCGGCUCCGUUAGACUUGAUCUAGGGUAUUUGAAGUCUCUAGAAAAUAAUUUUUGCGAUUUUUCGAUAUCAUUUACCUAGUGAUCGAAAGGAUUCAAAAUCA
rnacentral:lncRNA from 1 species